rnacentral:lncRNA from 1 species
AAAAAGUUGCCCCCAUAACUAUUUCUGGAGUGACAUAGUCUCCAUUGGGCAUGGUAAUGGCAACUCUAGCUUAGUGUUGACAAAUACAAGGGAAAAUAAAUGAUAACCCAGUAUAAACCCAAACACCACAAAAAUCAUGAUCAAAGAAAUCAAAGAUGAGCUACUCAACCUGAAGUCUGAAUAGAAACCAUAAGUAGUUAUAAGAAGUUAUUGUACAUUUGCCUUUAUGACUUGGCAAAAUGAAUUUGGACUUUUGAACCCAACAAAUUGUUGCUAAAAUCUCAGCUCUACUUCUCCUAUAUUUGAAUGUGAGCAAACCAUUUAGUCUUCCAAACUUGGGUAUAAUUUCUAACUAGACUAUCUUACUAAUGGUUAUACCGUAGAAAGAACUAAAUGAGAGGGUUCCUGACAACUAAGGAACAUUGAAAAAUUACAGAUUCAAAAGUCAGCCUCUGAGGCUUCUAAGAUAAUAAAUGAAAGAAAUUUUUAAAAGUUAAAGGGAAAAAAGUCAUUUUGAAGAGCUAGCAC